GAAUAUAUUGGCCUAAGUGAUUCUCAAACUGAUGACACACGCUAUUCUUGCUGGCCGGACUUUCUUAACUGAUGUUCAUAUUUCAAAGUCUUUCUCAAAUUUCCCUUUCUUCCUGCAGGCCUUCCUCAUCCCUACCCCUCCUCCUCCUCACCACGAGACAUAAUUGAUCACACCACUUUUUUGAAUUGCACGCUGAGCAGAAUGUCUGACAAGUGUGCAAUUGACUAAGAGAGGAAAGAAACCCUGAAAAGAGUGAAGUUCUGGUCCAGCAGUGUAGAACUCCUGCCGAAUCCACAGGUGAAGAGAGGUGGACCAAGGGAUGGAGGCCCUGGAAGUGUUGCAGAGCAAAGCAGGCCACAACCCCUCUGCACUUUUUCCUCAGUUGAUACCAUGACAGCAGUAAGAAUGACUAUUCUGGAUACAGAAGAGUGAGGAAUAUAUACGAAGAUGGUGUCUUUGGGAAUGAGAAUUCAUGAAACAUAACAAAUAAAGUAUAACCUUGGCAUGAUAUACACACACUGUAAUCCCUGCAUGCUGGGAGGCUGAGACAGGAGGGUUGGAAGUUCAAGCUCAGCCUGGGAAUAUUAGUAACUUAGGGAGACACUGUCUUAAAAUAAAAAGUUAAAUAAAAAGGGGCUAGGGCUAUAGCUCUGUGCAAUAGCCCUGUUUCAAACUCCAGUAUUGGAAAAGAUAAAAAU